rnacentral:misc_RNA from 1 species
AUAUAUAUCAACCUUCUCAUUUUUGAGUGGUUUGGAUGUGGGGGUUUGCUGGCCUCUUAAAUGAGUUCAGCUCCUCUGAAAUGCAUUAGCAGAACAACCCUGUUCAUUGGCGUGAUAACUAUCUACGCUAUUGAAUGUGAGGGACGGUUCAGCUUUCUAACAGUCCUUGGACAACUUAUCAUUU